GCGAACUUAGUGCCAGGAGCCGCGGUAAGACGAAGGAUGUGAGCGUUAUCCGGUGUAAGUGAGUUUAAAGGGAGCGUAGGGGGCCUUAUAAGUCAGUGGUGAAAUCUCUGGGCUUAACCCAGAAAUUGCCAUUGAUACUGUAGGGCUUUAGUAUAGGUGGCGUUGGCGGAAUAUGACAUGUAGUGGUGAAAUACAUAGAGAUGUCAUAGAACACCGAUUGCGAAGGCAGCUAACGAAACUAUAACUGACACUGAGGCUCGAAAGUGCGGGGAUCAAACAGGAUUAGAUACCCGAGUAGUC
rnacentral:rRNA from 1 species